rnacentral:rRNA from 1 species
UACGAAGGGUGCAACCGUUGCUCGGAAUCAUUGGGCGUAAAGCGCACGUAGGCGGCGCAACAAGUCGGACGUGAAAUCCCUCGGCUCAACCGAGGACGUGCAUCCGAAACUGUUGUGCUCGAGUAUGGAAGAGGGUCGCGGAAUUCUCGGUGUAGAGGUGAAAUUCGUAGAUAUCGGGAGGAACACCAGUGGCGAAGGCGGCGACCUGGGACGUUACUGACGCUGAGACGCGAAAGCGUGGGGAGCAAACAGG